AAGAUGCCAAGUGCAUUGGGAGAGAACAGAGGGAAACCUGCAGCCACGAAGCUAGGAUGAGAUGGCAGGGUCUCACUGUGCCAUUGAAGUCCCAGCCCCACGGGCACAGGAGCACGGCAGUGCCUGGUGCAAAGCCCAGAUUGCCCUGGGUAUGGAAGUGGCACUCAGGGUCUCUCUGCUCCUUAUAUUGAGGCAGAGUGGGAGAACUGAAGGGGAAGGAGAAAGACAAGUUUGCAUGCAGAGCAGAAAAGGGCAAUGCUGAAUUUAUUCUGGAGAACAGAGCUGGGUCUCCCGAGUGCAAGCAGCAGCUGUUCUUCCUGAACGCAGAGCAAAAGAUUCAGGCAAACUCUCCGGGGAGUUUUUAAUUUUCUAUCUGCUGAUUUCAGAGCUGUUUUCACCCAGACGUGUGCAUUGUGGCUCCGGGAGCUGCACGCUGAUGCAUCCAGGGGCUCUGUGCCAGGCAGGAGCGGUGCUGCACAGCUGUGCACAGCUGCACCAGCGCUGCCCCAUCCCCUCCCUCAUAGCAUGGGUCAUAGCCCCCAGCUCUGCCCAAAGAGAUCCUCGUGAUCAGGAGAUACAGAAAUGUUUUACACCCAAAGCAGCCCUGGGUCUUCAACUCCAUAUGCAGAAGUUGUGAUUUCAGCACAGAGAUGUUGUGCUCCCAGGGAGACCUUGCCCUGCCUUCUCACUCUGGGAGAAGUCACAUCUGCAGAGUGCUAGCAGGGCUGGGCAGAAACUGCUGGGAGCCAUGGGUGCCUGGUUUCUGGGCACUGGGGGUGCCACCACUGUGACUCUGCUCCAGGCGCUGCCCUGUCCCGCAGUGAGCACGGAGCUCUGUGUUCCCUGGGAGGGGAUUUCUGCCCUCCUGAACUCUCAUUCUGCGCUUCAAAGAGUACCUGCAAUUAGCUGCCUGCUCCACUUCCACUGGGGAAGAAGGUGUCAGAGGCCGCAGCCAGGUCAGGUCCUGUUGUACCACAAGCGCUACGCAGCCAUUUGCUGGGUGACAGUGGCAGUGACACCGUAUCCCACGCCUGUAGCACCACUCUCAGAAACGUUUUGUAUCUCAUUAUGGCACGUGCCAGAACUCAGAGCGCUGCUGUAACUGAGCACCCAGCACUCAGCCCUUCCUGGCUAAUGAAAUCCUGCGAGCAAUUUGUCUCGAGCUCCACGGAAUAUUUUUGCAUUACAG
rnacentral:lncRNA from 1 species